rnacentral:rRNA from 1 species
CUACGGGGGGCACCAGUGAGGAAUAUUGCACAAUGGGGGGAACCCUGAUGCAGCAACGCCGCGUGGAGGAUGACGCAUUUCGGUGUGUAAACUCCUUUUAUAUGUCAAGAAAAUGACGGUAGCAUAUGAAUAAGCACCGGCUAACUCCGUGCCAGCAGCCGCGGUAAUACGGAGGGUGCAAGCGUUACUCGGAAUCACUGGGCGUAAAGGACGCGUAGGCGGGUUGGAAAGUCAGGUGUGAAAUCCUACAGCUUAACUGUAGAACUGCACUUGAAACUGCUAAUCUAGAGUCUGGGAGGGGGGGAUGGAAUUAGUGGUGUAGGGGUAAAAUCCGUAGAUAUCACUAGGAAUACCUAAAGCGAAGGCGAUCUCCUGGAACAUUACUGACGCUAAGGCGCGAAAGCGUGGGGAGCAAACAGGAUUAGAUACCCCUGUAGUC